rnacentral:misc_RNA from 1 species
GAAAUUCGAUAAGUAAUGUGAAUUGCAGAAUUCAGUGAAUCAUCGAAUCUUUGAACGCACAUUGCGCCCGCCAGUAUUCUGGCGGGCAUGCCUGUUCGAGCGCCAUUUCCACCAUCAGGCCCCCGGGCCUGUGUUGGGGACCUGCGGCUGCCCGCAGGCCCCGAAAUUCAGUGGCGGUCGCGCCGUAGCAACCGAGCGUAGUAACUAAAACGUCUCGCUCUGGCUCGCUGGGCGCGCUCCGGCCGUAAAACACCCCCCCUUUUCGCAAAGGUUGACCUCGGAUCAGGUAGGAAUACCCGCUGAACUUAAGC